AAUGUGUACGUACUAUUGUACAUUUAUUUUUUUAACAAAUGUGUAUUUUACCGAGUCUUUAGGACGUGUACGGAAAAUGGAAGCAUUAUUGAAAAAUAUGUACAUAAGUGUAUAAUAAGAGUAUUAAACGAAAAAUGCUAAAUUCUUUAUAGAGGUAAUAACUAUGGAAAAGUAAAGAAUCAAAAUAGGACAAUAGAGACUCAGGUAAUAGCCUAAUAGUAAUGGAUAAUGCUCUAAACUACUCUUAUCGAUAAACAAAAAUUAGGGAAAAAAUAUUGCAAAAAAAGGAGGGAAAAAAAAAAAAGAUACCAGUAUAGCCGUGCGGCUAUACUAUUUAUUAUUAACAAAAAAGGCCACAAAUGGCUGUACAAGCUUUACAUUUCCCUCCUUGCCUGGCUCGCUUCACUGAAUCACUUCCCAUCAAAGUCUUCAAGUUCAAGGCCAAAAAAGAGGUGGGCAAUUCCUCAUUUGAGCUCUCAUGGCGCCUCCCAAGAAAUCAAAGAAAAGCAAGAAAGAUAGGAAAUUGAAGAAAAACUUAAGCUUGGUUCCAGUCGAGCCUAAAGCCAGAGACUCUGAUUGGUGGGAUAGUUUCUUCAACCCAAGACUUGGGGAAUAUACAGGCACAGAAACACAUAGUCGGGCUUUGCUGCUUGUUAUAUGGAAGCAAGUUUUUCUGUCUUCCUAUUUCCCUUUUUAUUCUUCACUAUCCAAUGAUGAGGAGAAGGUUUUUUCUUUAGGGUCUCAAAGAAGACUUUUGACCAUAUCUGUUCCCUUGUAAGAGAAGGCCUUGUGUUGAGGCCCCUGUCAGGUCUCAUCAACAUAGAAGGCUUCUUAGUGUUGAGAAACAGGUUGCAAUCACCCUAAGAAGGCUUGCAUCCCAUGAGUCUCAAGUCUCAGUGGGACCUGCCUUCGGGGUAGGCCAGUCCACAGUUUCUCAGGUGACUUGGGAGAUUCAUUGAAGCAUUGGAAGAACGUGCCAAGCACCAUCUCAAGUGGCCUGAUUCCAACAGAAUGGAAGAAAUAAAGUCCAAACUUGAAGAAGCCUUUGGAUUGCCCAAUUGUUGUGGAGCCAUAGAUGGUAUAGACAUCAUUAUGACCCUUCCUACUGUUCAAACAUCAGACGAUUGUUGUGACCUGGAGGACAACUACAGCAUGCUCUUGCUGUAGGGAAUUGUUGACCAGGAGUUGAGGUUUCUUGACAUUGUAAGUGGUUGGCCUGGGGGCAUGACGGUGUCUAGACUUUUGAAGUGUUCAGGAUUUUUCAAGCUCUGUGAAGGUGGACAGCGUUUGAAUGAAAAUGUUAGAACUUUAUCUGGAGGAGUAGAGAUUAGAGAAUACUUGGUGGGGUUGGCUAUCCUCUGCUUCCAUUUCCGCUUUCAAUGCCGCGCAUAGGGCUGCAAGGUCACUUGCAGUAACGGCAUUCUUGCAGUUAAAGGGCACUUGGAGAAUCCUUAACAAGGUCAUGUGGAGACCCGAUAAGCAGAAACAUCUGAGGAUCAUCUUGGUAGGUUGUUUACUUCACAAUAUAAGAAUUGACAGUGGAGAUAUAUUACAACCAGAUGUUGCUUUAUCUGGUCAUCAUGACUCGGGAUAUGGCGAACAAUGCUGUAGGCAAGUUGAUCCGUUGGGGAGGACUAUGAGGGAUAUCCUAGUGAAACACUUGCUGCACAGCAAGCAGACCGCUGCACCAAAGUGAUUCUUGUUCUGCCAAUCUGGUUUAUAAAUGAGUUGGAAGUUUGGAACGGGUUCAAUCUGUAAAAUUUUUUGCUUCCGCAAUUUCACCGGCACCAGCCAUACACGACAUGAAAUGCUGAAUUGCUUCUCUUAUUUACAUUGACUUGCAUAAAAGAAAUGUAUGUAUGUUUUUAACAGACUGAAUCAGCCAUCUUUGUAUGGCGGCUUAGAAAGUAGAAUGGAAGCUCAUUUUGUCAGAGUCUACGAGAACUUGUAACACCAAAGAUAUCCCACAAAAAUAAAACAUUUUUAUUUUAA